UACAGAGGGUGCGAGCGUUAAUCGGAAUUACUGGGCGUAAAGCGUGCGUAGACGGUAGCGUAAGUCAGAUGUGAAAGCCCCGGGCUCAACCUGGGAACUGCUUCUGAUACUGGCGGACUUGAGGCCAGUAGGGGUCACUAGAACUGACGGUGGAGCGGUGAAAUGCGUAGAUAUCGUCAGGAAUGCCGGUGGUGAAGACGGGUGACUGGGCUGGUUCUGACACUGAGGCACGAAAGCGUGGGGAGCGAACGGG
rnacentral:rRNA from 1 species